rnacentral:misc_RNA from 1 species
AAUUCUUUUCAUUUUAUUCUUUAUCUACAUGUAGUAUCACGCACAUAAAAUGUUAGGCAGUUUUCAUAAUUGUGUUCUAUAUAAAUGUUCCAUAAUAUUAAAAACAAGCUCCACAUUGAACGAAAAAAUUAAUGAAAAUAAACAGUAUACGAUGCAAUAAAAUAUGUUUUUAC